rnacentral:lncRNA from 1 species
CCUCAUGGCGGCGCGCGGAGCAGCGGCCCUAACGGCCGCAACGGCCGGCGGCGGCGCGCGCGGGGCUGCGGCCGUAACGGCCGCAACGGCGGCGGUUUAGGGCCCAGUGCCGCGGCGGCGUCCUCGGGAGCAGUGUCUCGUCCGCCGCCGGCAGGAGGGCGGCUGGUGCCUCAGGAACCGCAGCGCCCAGUAGCCACACGGCGGGGGGCAGAGCGGGAGGCAGGAGCACCCCAACGACAAAAUAACCCAGGAAAUGGGUGGCAGAGGUUUCAAAACCAAACUGAGAUGGUCAGAUGGUUUGCUGUACUUUGCAGAAUGAAACAUAUGUUCCUGACAACUACUUAA